rfam:Streptomyces sp. NRRL S-1521 P341contig35.1, whole genome shotgun sequence.
CGAGCCGGGCGGGCGGCCGCGUGAAGACCCCUUCGGGGGCCCUUCCCGAGGAACGUCCGGGCUCCACAGGGCAAGGUGGUGGCUAACGGCCACCCGGGGUGACCCGCGGGACAGUGCCACAGAAAACAGACCGCCGAGGGCUCCGGCCCCCGGUAAGGGUGAAACGGUGGUGUAAGAGACCACCAGCGCCUGGGGUGACCCAGGCGGCUAGGUAAACCCCACCUGGAGCAAGGUCAAAAGGAAGCACCUUUUCCCAGGAAAGGGCGCUUCUGCGCGGACGACCGAGGGCUGCCCGCCCGAGUCCGCGGGUAGACCGCACGAGGCCGGCAGCAAUGCCGGCCCUAGAUGGAUGGCCGUCACCGCGACGUCCGCGAGGACCCGCGGCACAGAACCCGGCGUACAGCCCGACUCGUCUG